UGCAAGUCGAGGGGUAACGGCAGUAGCUUGCUACUAGACGACGACCGGCGCACGGGUGAGUAACGCGUAUGUAAUCUGCCUUGUACAGAGGGAUAGCCCAGAGAAAUUUGGAUUAAUACCUCAUAGUAUUACUGAAUCGCAUGAUUUGGUAAUUAAAGCUCCGGCGGUACAAGAUGAACAUGCGUGACAUUAGCUAGUUGGUAAGGUAACGGCUUACCAAGGCCACGAUGUCUAGGGGUUCUGAGAGGAUGAUCCCCCACACUGGUACUGAGACACGGACCAGACUCCUACGGGAGGCAGCAGUGAGGAAUAUUGGUCAAUGGACGCAAGUCUGAACCAGCCAUCCCGCGUGAAGGAUGACUGCCCUAUGGGUUGUAAACUUCUUUUAUAU
rnacentral:rRNA from 1 species